UACGAAGGGUGCAAACGUUGCUCGGAAUUAUUGGGCGUAAAGCGCACGUAGGCGGCUUGGCAAGUCGGAUGUGAAAUCCCUCGGCUCAACCAAGGAAGUGCAUCCGAAACUGCUGAGCUUGAGUACUUAAGAGGAUCGCGGAAUUCCCGGUGUAGAGGUGAAAUUCGUAGAUAUCGGGAGGAACACCAGUGGCGAAGGCGGCAUCCUGGACCAACACUGACACUGAGGAGCGAAAGCCAGGGGAGCAAACGGG
rnacentral:rRNA from 1 species